UGGCGUGCUAUAAUGCAAGUCGAGCGAACUGAUUAGAAGCUUGCUUCUAUGACGUUAGCGGCGGACGGGUGAGUAACACGUGGGCAACCUGCCUGUAAGACUGGGAUAACUUCGGGAAACCGAAGCUAAUACCGGAUAGGAUCUUCUCCUUCAUGGGAGAUGAUUGAAAGAUGGUUUCGGCUAUCACUUACAGAUGGGCCCGCGGUGCAUUAGCUAGUUGGUGAGGUAACGGCUCACCAAGGCAACGAUGCAUAGCCGACCUGAGAGGGUGAUCGGCCACACUGGGACUGAGACACGGCCCAGACUCCUACGGGAGGCAGCAGUAGGGAAUCUUCCGCAAUGGACGAAAGUCUGACGGAGCAACGCCGCGUGAGUGAUGAAGGCUUUCGGGUCGUAAAACUCUGUUGUUAGGGAAGAACAAGUACGAGAGUAACUGCUCGUACCUUGACGGUACCUAACCAGAAAGCCACGGCUAACUACGUGCCAGCAGCCGCGGUAAUACGUAGGUGGCAAGCGUUAUCCGGAAUUAUUGGGCGUAAAGCGCGCGCAGGCGGUUUCUUAAGUCUGAUGUGAAAGCCCACGGCUCAACCGUGGAGGGUCAUUGGAAACUGGGGAACUUGAGUGCAGAAGAGAAAAGCGGAAUUCCACGUGUAGCGGUGAAAUGCGUAGAGAUGUGGAGGAACACCAGUGGCGAAGGCGGCUUUUUGGUCUGUAACUGACGCUGAGGCGCGAAAGCGUGGGGAGCAAACAGGAUUAGAUACCCUGGUAGUCCACGCCGUAAACGAUGAGUGCUAAGUGUUAGAGGGUUUCCGCCCUUUAGUGCUGCAGCUAACGCAUUAAGCACUCCGCCUGGGGAGUACGGUCGCAAGACUGAAACUCAAAGGAAUUGACGGGGGCCCGCACAAGCGGUGGAGCAUGUGGGUUUAAUUCGAAGCAACGCGAAGAACCUUACCAGGUCUUGACAUCCUCUGACACUCUAGAGAUAGAGCGUUCCCCUUCGGGGACAGAGUGACAGGUGGUGCAUGGUUGUCGUCAGCUCGUGUCGUGAGAUGUGGUAGUCCGCACGAGCGCAACCCUUGAUCUAGUUGCCAGCAUUAGUUGGCACUCCUAAGUGACUGCCGGUGACAACCGAGA
rnacentral:rRNA from 2 species